rnacentral:rRNA from 1 species
AGCAUAUCAAUAAGCGGAGGAAAAGAAACUAACAAGGAUUCCCCUAGUAACGGCGAGUGAAGCGGGAACAGCUCAAAUUUGAAAUCUCCCGGGGUUACCCGGGCGAAUUGUAGUUUAGAGAAGCGUUUUCGGGGGCGACUUGGGUAUAAGUCCUCUGGAACGGGGCGUCAUAGAGGGUGAGAAUCCCGUUUAUGAUCCAAUGUUCGCUCCUAUGUGAUACGCUUUCCAAGAGUCAGGUAGUUUGGGAUUGCUGCCUAAAAUGGGUGGUAAAUACCAUCUAAAGCUAAAUAUUGGCGAGACACCGAUAGCGAACAAGUACCGUGAGGGAAAGAUGAAAAGAACUUUGAAAAGAGAGUUAAACAGUACGUGAAAUUGCCAAAAGGGAAACGCUUGGAACCAGUAUUGUCUGCAGGUAAUCAACCGCACGUCCCGCAAGGACCACGUGCGGUGCACUUGCUUGCAGACAGGUCCACAUCAGUUUGCUUUGGGGUAAAAAGCCGGAGGAAGGUAGCUUGGGCUUCGGUCUGAGUGUUAUAGCCUACGGUCAUGCCCUGAAGUGGACUGAGGUCUGCAGCGUUCUCUGGGAUGUCGGUCUCCCUCCGGGACUCGGGUUCAGACAGCACGCUGACUGCAUCCGUGUUCCUGGAGGCUCGGCUGGCUUACACACCAACGCUUAGGAUGUGGACGAAAUGGUUCCAAACGACCCGU